GAAAGAUUCAUCGGAAGAGGAUGGGCAUGCGGCGCAUUAGCUUGACGGCGGGGUAACGGCCCACCGUGGCGACGAUGCGUAGGGGUUCUGAGAGGAAGGUCCCCCACACUGGUACUGAGACACGGACCAGACUCCUACGGGAGGCAGCAGUGAGGAAUAUUGGUCAAUGGGAGAGAUCCUGAACCAGCCAAGCCGCGUGAGGGAAGACGGCCCUAUGGGUUGUAAACCUCUUUUGUCGGAGAACAAAACCCGGGACGAGUCCCGGACUGCGUGUAUCCGAAGAAAAAGCAUCGGCUAACUCCGUGCCAGCGGCCGCGGUAAUACGGAGGAUGCGAGCGUUAUCCGGAUUUAUUGGGUUUAAAGGGUGCGUAGGCGGUCCGUUAAGUCAGCGGUAAAAUUGCGGGGCUCAACCCCGUCGAGCCGUUGAAACUGGCAGACUUGAGUUGGCGAGAAGUACGCGGAAUGCGCGGUGUAGCGGUGAAAUGCAUAGAUAUCGCGCAGAACUCCGAUUGCGAAGGCAGCGUACCGGCGCCAGACUGACGCUGAGGCACGAAAGCGUGGGGAUCGAACAGGAUUAGAUACCCUGGUAGUCCACGCAGUAAACGAUGAAUGCUGGUUGUCCGGGUCGAAUGAGACCUGGGCGGCGA
rnacentral:rRNA from 1 species